rnacentral:tRNA from 1 species
AGAGUAUUAGCUCAGUUGGGAGAGCAUCUGCCUUACAAGCAGAGGGUCGCUGGUUCGAGCCCGGCAUACUCUA